rnacentral:rRNA from 1 species
AGCAAUGAGAGAAAUGACACCACAUUUGAUGAGAGUACAAACCAACCAAGAAUGCCUAUACUAGAAUUUCAUCCAAGUCAAAUUAUUGCUGAUCCAGGACUUAGAAUACCAAUAGAAGAUUAUGCCCCUGAAAUAAGAAGUGAUGUGAGAAGAGCUUAUUUGUUGAACAAGCGAAACAAAGCUAUUGGGCAUAAAUUCAAGAAGACAAAAGAUGGUAAAAUUUGGAGAUCCUUUCAGCGUGCGUGGUUUGACAAUUUUGAUUGGUUGGAAUAUAGUGUGGAUAAGGAGGCUGCGUUUUGCUUUCAUUGCUUCCUUUUCAAGAAACCAUCCCAAGCCAUUAGAUUUGGCAAUGAUGUUUUCACAAAAAAUGGGUACACUCGUUGGAAAACAGGUUUAACUAGUUUUGAAAAGCAUGUCGGUGGUCAAUCUAGUUACCACAACAUUGCUAGGGGAGAUUGUGAUGAUUUCAACAAUCAACGAGCAAGUGUGGCUACCAAAUUCCGAGUGUACAGCAAAGAGGCUGAGAUAUCUUAUAAAAUCCGCCUAACUGCACCAUUGGAUUGUGCAAGGUAUCUCAUAACACAAGGUGAAGCUUUUCGUGGGCAUGAUGAAUCCUCCACUUCCAUCAACAAGGGCAAUUUUAGAGAGUUAUUGGACUGGUAUAAGGACAAGAAGGAAGAUGUGAAGGAUGCAUUUGACAAGGGGGCUGGAAAUGCACAAAUGAUUUGUUCUGACAUCCAAAAGGACCUUGCUACAGCUUGUGCGAUGGAGGUAACCAGUAUUAAGAAAGACAUUGGAGAUAAGAAUUUCUCAAUACUUAUUGAUGAUGCUAGAGAUUGUUCAAUAAAGGAGCAAAUGGCGGUGAGUUUGAGAUUUCUAGAUGAUCAUGGAGUGCUCCAAGAGAGAUUCCUUGCCAUUAAGCACAUCACAUAUUGCACAUCUGCUGGAAUUAAAGAAGCUUUAGUUGAUGUGUUGGAAUAUCAUGGUUUGUCAAUUUCCAGGCUACGUGGUCAGGGUUAUGAUGGGGCUUCAAAUACGAGAGGGGAGUUCAAUGGUUUGCAAAAAUUGGUUAGAGAUGAAGCUCCGUAUGCAUUCUAUGUUCAUUGCUUUGCUCACCAGUUACAAUUGGUGGUUGUCACCGUUGCUCAAUGUUGUCCUGCUAUUGCUGAUUUCUUCAAUUAUAUUCCCUUGAUAGUGACUCAAGUGUGUUCAUCUUGUAAAAGGAAAGAUGCAUUACUUGCCAAACAUCAAGAUGAAUUGUUAGAUUUGAUGGAGAAUGGAAAGAUUUCAGCCGGUACUGGGUUGCAUCAAGAAUCUAACAUAACAAGAGGAGGAGAUACUUGUUGGGGCUCACACCUCAAAACCUUGCUUCGUAUAUUCACAAUGUGGAAUGCUGUGGUGGAUGUGCUAGGAAUUGUUGUGGCUGAUGCUCGGGAACACACAUGCCAAGGUGGAGCUAGAGGUUUGCUUAAAAACAUGGAAUGCUUUGAAUUUGUGUUCAUCAUGUUCUUCUUAAUAAACUUUAUGAGAAACACAAAUAAACUAUCCCAAGCUUUGCAAAGGAAUAAUCAAAAUAUUGUUGAGGCCAUGCGUUUGAUCUUGGAUGUGAAAGAAAGCUUGCAGGACAUGAGGGACAAUGGUUGGGAGCCUUUCUUUUGCCAAGCCAAGAACUUUUGUGAAACACAUGAUAUUGAUGUGCCAAACAUGGAUGAUCUUGUUGGAACAAUGGGCCAAUCCUCGGCUUCACUGUUACAAGGUUAG